AUCAAGAAGAAAAAGAAGAAAAAGAAAAAGAACUGAGACUACAGAAGAAGGAACAGUUUACUCAGUUUCGAGUAGAUCGACGACAGAAUUGUGCCUUUUAGAGGGACCAGAAGAUGGUAUAGGGAUCCCUUUGGGGAAGAAGUUGAACAU